CUUUCGUUCAGUUCGGACGCAGCGAAGACCCGAAGACCCACCAAACCAGUGAACAUACCUCUACUUCUUUUACGUGGUCCACGAGGCUGCUGACAACACGAGAAAAUGUAGACGAGACGGAUUCGGUGCGGAGCGCGACAGUUUACCUGAACCCUACGGGGUCGGUGCUUGAACAAUCCGUACGCAACCAUAAUCUGGUCUGAUUAGAGUUCGAAAUUUCUUCACACAUUUUGAACUAUUUGAGAAGAGCACCUCGAGAAUACAUGCCUUAGUUUAGAGCAGACUCGUAGUUUGAGGUCGAGAAUAAAUCGUCGGCACCAUCUUGUCUAAACGAAUUCUCUACCACGAGGGCACACGGAACGUUGGAAUUGAGAACAAAAAAAAAAACA